rnacentral:rRNA from 1 species
GGUGAAUGCUGGCGGCGUGGAUGAGGCAUGCAAGUCGAAUGGGUUUAGACCCAUGGCAGACGAGGUAGGAACACGUAGGUACAAACCCCAAAGUCAAGGAUAUCCCGGUGAAAAUCGGUGUAAUACUUGAUAGUCUCUUCGGAGUAAAGAUUUAUCGCUUUGGGAUUGGCCUGCGUUCUAUCAGCUUGUUGGUAAGGUAACGGCUUACCAAGGCUACGACGGAUAGGGGAGGUGAGAGCCUGACCCCCACCGAUGGAACUGCGACACGGUCCAU